AUUGAACGCUGGCGGCAUGCCUUACACAUGCAAGUCGAACGGUAACAGGUCUUCGGAUGCUGACGAGUGGCGAACGGGUGAGUAAUACAUCGGAACGUGCCUAGUAGUGGGGGAUAACUACUCGAAAGAGUGGCUAAUACCGCAUGAGAUCUACUGAUGAAAGCAGGGGAUCGCAAGACCUUGUGCUACUAGAGCGGCCGAUGGCAGAUUAGGUAGUUGGUGGGAUAAAAGCUUACCAAGCCGACGAUCUGUAGCUGGUCUGAGAGGACGAUCAGCCACACUGGGACUGAGACACGGCCCAGACUCCUACGGGAGGCAGCAGUGGGGAAUUUUGGACAAUGGGCGCAAGCCUGAUCCAGCAAUGCCGCGUGCAGGAUGAAGGCCUUCGGGUUGUAAACUGCCUUUGUACGGAACGAAAAGCCCUGGGUUAAUACCCUGGGGUCAUGACGGUACCGUAAGAAUAAGCACCGGCUAACUACGUGCCAGCCGCCGCAGUAAUAC
rnacentral:rRNA from 1 species